UCUUCCCUCUCCUCCCCCUUAGAUGACCUGGAUGACCGAAAAUCUCCACAGACAUUACCAAACCAGUUCCUUCAGGUCUUCAAAGCAUAUCUUCUCCCACUUGGCCAUUGGAAGACCACCCAAACCAAUGGAUCUGGGGUUGAUUUCUGAGCUUUGUUUUGAAGAAUGGAAAGAUGGAUCAAGUUGAGUUGACCCCCAACGAAGAAGGCAUGUCCAGCAUGCCGGCUUCUCAAACUCUUCAUGCAGGCUUCGCUCAAUGGGCGGUGCUGCCGAUGGAUUGGGACCCCAUGAUGAAUGGGGUGCUGAACCCUAACAUAUAUGGAGGGUGUUGAAUCAAGGAAGGCUGCCUUAAGUCUGUGACAUUCACACAAGACAACCCCCACCUCUGGCAAGACCCGUAGUUACUUUCAGAACCAGAUGAUCUUGCAAACUAUCAUGGUUUGCUAGAGAGUCUUCUCUUUCUCGGGUGCAAUGGUUAGCUGGUUGACUUCCUCCCUGCUUUGUUUUAACAGGGAGACGAAUGUAGUUGUCUGAAUAAGGUUACAGCUUUUGGUUUGUUUGUUUGUUUAGCCCAGAUGUGUUUGUCAGUCAAUGUAAAUACAAGGAUGGAAAAA